UACGUAGGCAGCAAGCGUUGUUCGGAGUUACUGGGCGUAAAGGGUGCGUAGGCGGUUGUUUAAGUUUGGUGUGAAAUCUCCCGGCUCAACCGGGAGGGUGCGCCGAAUACUGAACGGCUAGAGUGCGGGAGAGGAGAGUGGAAUUCCUGGUGUAGCGGUGAAAUGCGUAGGUAUCAGGAGGAACACCGGUGGUGUAGACGGCUCUCUGGACCGUAACUGACGCUGAGGCACGAAAGCGUGGGUAGCAAACAGG
rnacentral:rRNA from 1 species